rnacentral:rRNA from 1 species
GAUGAACGCUGGCGGCGUGCCUAAUACAUGCAAGUCGAGCGAACAGACGAGGAGCUUGCUCCUCUGACGUUAGCGGCGGACGGGUGAGUAACACGUGGAUAACCUACCUAUAAGACUGGGAUAACUUCGGGAAACCGGAGCUAAUACCGGAUAAUAUAUUGAACCGCAUGAUUCAAUAGUGAAUGACGGUUUUGCUGUCACUUAUAGAUGGAUCCGCGCCGCAUUAGCUAGUUGGUAAGGUAACGGCUUACCAAGGCGACGAUGCGUAGCCGACCUGAGAGGGUGAUCGGCCACACUGGAACUGAGACACGGUCCAGACUCCUACGGGAGGCAGCAGUAGGGAAUCUUCCGCAAUGGGCGAAAGCCUGACGGAGCAACGCCGCGUGAGUGAUGAAGGUCUUCGGAUCGUAAAACUCUGUUAUUAGGGAAGAACAAAUGUGUAAGUAACUAUGCACGUCUUGACGGUACCUAAUCAGAAAGCCACGGCUAACUACGUG